GGGGAAUCUUCCACAAUGGGCGAAAGCCUGAUGGAGCAACGCCGCGUGUGUGAUGAAGGGUUUCGGCUCGUAAAACACUGUUGUAAGAGAAGAAUGACAUUGAGAGUAACUGUUCAAUGUGUGACGGUAUCUUACCAGAAAGGAACGGCUAAAUACGUGCCAG
rnacentral:rRNA from 1 species